CCGAAAACCUUCUCCACAGCUCCUCCGUGAUUUCGGAGGUGGGUCCCAAAUACCUCCUCUAUUUCUCUUUUUUUAUUCACCUUCUCUUCGCUCUAUCCAUCAGAAAAGAGCCUCUCUCUCUCUCCCCUCAAACUCUAUCUUCAGCUAGGAUUCGUACUCUUUCCGCCGCGCUACCGCUUGCCCAUAUCUGCCACGAAUCCGGCCUCUACUCUCUCUUUCUCUCUCUCUCUCUCUCUCUCUCUCUCUCUCGCUCUCUCUCUCCUCAAUCCCUAUGUUUGUCUAGCAUUCGUACUCUCUUCGCCGCGCUACCGUCGCUUGCCCAUAUCUGCCAUAAGUCCGGGCAUUUAAUGCCACCGUGGAAUGUACGCUUCUCUACAGUCGUUUCCUAUGGAGAUAGUUCCCUCUCUGCACAGUAUGCCUCCAUCAACCACAGAUCUGGAACCAUACGCACCUUUGUUAUCGUUCCUCAAAGAUGGUUCCCUCUCUGCACAGAUCUUGGUAUGUUUUCUCUGGAUCUGCACUGUACCUCCCGAUCUACUACCCACUCGAGAAUUUGCGCCGUUGCGGGCCUCUACCGCGAGCAAUGAAAAAUAUUGGUGCAGGACUAGGGGCUGGAUUUCCUGGCUUACAAUUCGGCCUUGGUAUUAGUGCUGGUUGUGGUAUUGGUUUGGAUUUUGGUUACGGCCUAGGAAAAGGAUUUGCUUAUGAUGAUAAGAAGAAGUAUUCAAAUGUCGGCAAACUAUUUCAAGAUGCAGCAAAUCUGCCAUCUUAGUAAACAAUUUACACUUUUGAUCUGAGAGCAUUUGAAUUUGGUUUGAUUUGAGUUGUGGUCAUAACUUGAUAUGUUUUUUUUCUUUUUUUUUUCUUUUUUUGGUGCACAUAUGUGCUUUCAAUUUCAGUCGAAUUUUAUUUAGUGCUAUUUUCCGUAAGGAGUUUGCAAUGACUUGGAUAACUAUUGACUGAUAUACUCAUCCAUGAUCCUAACUACGUACUCAGUAAACUUAAGAAUUA